rnacentral:lncRNA from 1 species
GUGGAAAAGAGAGCCGGGGCCAACCCGUCUGGGUGCGGACCUGUCAUUAGGAAGCCAGCUGCCAGCUUGUGUUCCCUUGGGAUGGAGGAGGAGCCCCGCGGUCCCUGCCAGGAGAGGGUCCCUUUAACAAAAAGCUGGUGCCGCCAUCUGCUUUCGCCCUCUGGGUUAAUACUGGACCCGUGCAUAAUGAUACAUAAUUUAAGACUUGUAAAAGCUGCCCAGGACUUGAAAGGAACACAGUCUAAGCCAGGAGCCUGUGCCUGGCAUGCAAGAGCAAGUAACACAGCAGAGGCAAGAAAGCAAGCCUCCAUGGAAGCGGAAGUGCUGGAACCUCGCUCAGCCCGAGUUGCAAACCUCUGCAGGCCAGUGGAAGUUUUGUAUUUUUUUCUUUAAAAGCAACUGGUUGUUCACCACACACUCGCUCACUUUAGGGUCGACAGGUGUAUGCUGUUCGGAAAUGUGGCAAACCCGCAGGCUGAUUCCUUGGGCUCUUUGCUACCUAAGAAAGAUUACCAAAUAAGUUAACUUUGACUCACUGACCCCUCAGAUCAGCCAAUAAAAUGAAGCGCUUACACCACAACUUGCUCAAGGGGUAGUGUAAUUGAUUUACUUAAAAAUGAUGUCAGGUGGCAAUUGAGCAACAAACUGGCUUCCAGACUGCUUAAUUCAGUUUAACAAGGAGGAAAAACCUUGUAAUUAACGGAAGAGCUUGAAUACUUUGGAAGCUGUUUUCAAAGUCUGCCAUACCUAAGCUGGGGAGGGUGGGGGUAGGAGGGGACAGCUUGUUGAAAACUAUAAGUUCCCAGGCCCCGCUUGCAAGUCAGGGGCCAGGCCUGGGAUUCUGCAUUUAAGAGAAACCCCUUUGCAAGUUCUGCUUCUCUGCUCAUCACCCAGUCUCACUUGACUUUUAGUUAAGCUCUACUCCCUUUUCUGUUCUAAGUCUACAUUGUAUAUAUAUGUCUAGAAUCCUAGGAGUUUCCCAUCCUAAAGCAACCAGCUUUGAGCUGCUGUUUUCCUGGAGUUUCAUGGUAUAUAUGUACUAAUGUUGGAAUUCUAGUUCAUCACGUUUCUGAUGGGAAAAUUCUUCAUCUUCCAGAGCCUGAUUAUAGAGGGCAUAGAGCUUUCAGGGGGUGGGGGCGGGAAGGUUCUGGGGCUCUUCUCUUGCAGUUUCCUGCCCCCAGGACAACCAGGACUCCAGUGCAGGAUGCCUGCUAUCUGAAGAAAGGUUGACACCUGCCCUUAACAACCAAGGUCCUGGCU